GCGGUGGUGGUCUAGUGGCUAUGACGUCUGCUUAACACGCAGAAGGUCGGGAGUUCGAUCCUCCCUCACCGUA
rnacentral:tRNA from 1 species